GUUUUCGUGGCCCAGUGGUUAUGGCGUCUGCUUUACAAUGGAAUCAUUUCCUGAAAUCGCAGAAGAUCCCCGGUUCGAUCCCGGGCGAGAACA